UCGCAUUACACUAUUAAGAGGGGGGAAGGGGGGCAUGUGGCCAUGUAGAAUCCCAAUUCGGUUACAUUUUGCGAGAACAAUUUCUCUCAAUACGGUUCAUUUGAGAGCAUGACAGCCGGUCCAAAACGGCCGCCACUUUUUUCCCAAAAUGCCAUUAAACGAGUCUUCGAUUCACCUGCAGGGUUAACCCGGGGCGGUCCUGCCAUAUUUGAGCAGUGAACGUUUGCAACAAGCGACAAACGUGCUACUACUGGGUUACGGUCAAAUUAAUUUUUUUGCCUUUUAACAUUUAUUUUCACGGGAGACGGUGGAUUGUGCUCUCCAGGUGAGGGGGGACAAGCUGCCCUUAGUGGAGGAGUUGAAGUACCUCCGCGUCUCUUUCACGAGUGAUGCAGCAGCAGCAGCACGUGCCACUGGGCGAAGACCCCGGGGCCGGCCUAGGUCACGCUGGCAGGACGAUGUCGCUCGGCUGGCCUGGCAACGCCUGGGAAUUCACCAGGAAGUGCCGGAGUCCGUCGCCAGGAGAAAAGGUGGCAGCCAUCUCAAGCCAGAGGACGAGAGGACUCUCGCCGCCACGCAUAUAAAGGAUUUAUAGUGAAAAACUUUGUUUUUACGGGUUAUACUUAUUAUUUGCGUGAGCCCAGCGUCCAUAGACACGAGCAUCGAACGCAGAAGCCUAUCGCAAACUCCGUGUAGUCGGGCGGCGUUAAUUUAUUGGCGAGUGCACGCCGUCCGCAAAAACACUAUCGAUUUUGAUUACGCAGCUCAGACUGCCACCGCUACCUGCCAAUAACCUCAUGCCAGUUGGGCCCCGAGCCUCUUCGCCAACAUCGCAACGCAGCCGACACGUCCAAUGAAAUAAACACAAUGUCAAUAAAUACACAUUAGCGUCUUACGCGUUACUUCAAGCCAGACACUGCUGACAGAUGGUUUGGGAUUAGUGAUAUUGUCCAACACGCGGGGUUGGGUUUACUGUGAGCAGCUGGUCAGCCAGAUAUGAAAAUUGAAAAAAGCUUUUCUUGGAGGAUUUAUAUCAAAAUAAAUUGUAACGUAAGACACGUUUAAAAUAUGUUCACUCGCAUGUUCCGUCGAUUCUUAAAGUUUAUUUUGGUUUUUAUUCUGUCGAUAUGCCUUCUCUAACAAAUGGGCGAAUUCAAUUAUUCUGCGUUUUAUAUCACAAUCAUUUAGAUCAACAUCAUCAGCCAGAAUCAAUAACCUCUUCGAAGACCUCCUUCCUCGCCAUCGCCACCACUCCACAAUCCUUUAUACGUUAACAAUCCAUCUCGCACCUGCACACGUGCCACAUUCACCUUCUCACAAACGUUCCCCUCUCUUGGCUGCCAACUCAUUGUGGUGAUUAAUUGCUCGCAAUAAAAAUUAAUUGUUUGCCUUGAAAUU